AUUCUCAUUAGGAUAGUCAAGUACUUAAGUGGAUAUGUUUAUCCUGUCAAGCCCCGGGCUUAGUGGGCUCAUAAACUCUGCCAACAGACAGUACUUUCAAUUUCAAACUUAAACAUUCAAAGUACAGGCCAUUUUGAGGGAGGGGGAGAAUCACUGACUGUCUUUCCUCAUUUCCUACAACACUUAGCCCUAUUUUUUUUGUUUUUUGUUUUUUUGAGACAGGGUUUCUCUGUGUAGCUUUGCGCCUUUCCUGGAUCUCACUCUGUAGACCAGGCUGGCCUCAAACUCACAAAGAUCCGCCUGCCUCUGCCUCCUGAGCACUGGGAUUAAAGGCGUGCGCCACCACCGCCCAGCCCUUAGCCCUAUUUUGAAAAUGUUCCGUAAGGAUUAGGUGGCUGCCACAGCUCUUUCAAUAGAUAAAAUACUUUGCAACCAACUUCUCUCUCUCUUUUCUUUUCCUUUUUUUUUUCCAUUUGAGAUACGGUCUUGCUAUAUUACCCAGGAUGGCAUAGAACAAUUGGACUUUCCUGGUGGUAGUGACACACGCCUUUAAUCCCAGCUCUCGGGAGGCAGAGGCAAGCAGAUUCAAGGCCAGCCUGGUCUACAGAGAGAGUUCCAGGAUAGCCAGGGCUACACAGAGAAACCCUAUCUUAGAAAACAUAACAAAACACAAUUGAGCUCAAACUGUCCUCCUCAACUUUUUAAGUACAAGUGUGUACCAUCAUGCUCCCUUGGAGUCAACUUUUGCUGUAAGAGAAUACAGACAAGAUAUGAAAGACAAGAUAUGAUCUGCCAAAUAUCUCUUGGUAUACCCUUGGGAAUGUGAAGUUUGUCAAACUGGAAAUACUGGAAAUAUAGAUGACUACAUGCUUCAUAUACCUAUGUACAUUUCUUUACAAUUUGAAACUCAUUUAUAAUCAGUAUUGUAGACUUAGUUUUGUAACGUACCAUCUGAAUUUUUUUGUGAUUAAAAGGCAGUUUGCUGUUA